UACGUAGGGGGCAAGCGUUGUCCGGAAUCAUUGGGCGUAAAGAGCGCGUAGGCGGCCCUGUAAGUCCGCUGUGAAAGUCAAGGGCUCAACCCUUGGAUGCCGGUGGAUACUGCAGGGCUAGAGUCCGGAAGAGGCGAGUGGAAUUCCUGGUGUAGCGGUGAAAUGCGCAGAUAUCAGGAGGAACACCGAUGGCGAAGCAGCUCGCUGGGACGGUAGCUGACGCUGAGGCGCGAAAGCGUGGGGAGCAAACGG
rnacentral:rRNA from 1 species